UGCUGCAGGUUGCUAACAAUGGGACGUCUUAUAUCACCAAGUUUUGGUGAAACCUCUUUAGCCCUUGACCAUUGGAAAAAUUGCUGACAAUGGGACGUCUUAUAUCACCAAGUUUUGGUGAAACCUCUUUAGCCCUUGACCAUUGGAAAAUGGCCAAAGAACUAGAGCGCCUUCGAAAGGAGAGAUUGCAGGGUAGCUCAUAAAACAUUACUGGAGGGGGAAAUUGGGUCACAAUCCGUGUUAUACUAGUUAAGUGAAACAGUGGAUCACUUUCUUCACUCUCUGUAUAAAAUGAUGAUGUGCCAAAUCUUAAGCUGUGCUGGUAGAAUGGAAUGUUCUUCUGCUUAACAGCU
rnacentral:lncRNA from 1 species